UAAGUGGGUAGUGAAAUCGUAUGGCUCAACCAUGCUCACAUUACCUAAACUGCUCAGCUAGAGGAUGAGAGAGGUACCUGGAAUUCCUUGUGUAGGAGUGAAAUCCGUAGAUAUAAGGAGGAACACCGAUGGCGUAGGCAGGGUACUGGCUCAUUUCUGACACUAAGGCACGAGAGCGUGGGGAGCAAACGGGAUUAGAUACCCCGGUAGUCCACGCCGUAAACGAUGGAUGCUA
rnacentral:rRNA from 1 species